AUAAAGUUUGAUUCUUUCUUUUUUAUUAGUUUGUUAAAUUGAUUAUAUGAAUAACUAUUAAAUUAAUUUUUAUUCAGUAAUUAGUAUUAAUUUUAAUUUUAUUUUUGAUUUAGAUAUUUAAUUAGGUUUGGUUAAAUUUGUGCCAGCAUUCGCGGUUAGACAAUUAAUCCAAGUUAAUAUUUUAGGUUAAGUAUUUUAUUUGAAUUUAAUUUUUUUUUGCUUAGGUGGAAUUUGUAUUUAAAUUAAUUUCUAUUUUUUUGUAAUGCGAAAUUUAUUUUUUAAACUAGGAUUAGAUACCCUAUUAUUGUAAAUUUAAAUUUUAUUCCUGAAUAGUAUUAGUUAUGUUCUUUUAAACUCGAAGAAUUUGGCGGUAAAUUAAUCUUACUAGAGGAACCUGUUUUUUAAUUGAUAAACCACGAUUUUUUAUACUUAAAUUAAAUUUGUAUAUCUCUAUAAUUUGGAGUGUGUUUUAAGAUUUAUUCUCUUUUACUUUUAAAGAUUUAUAUUAGGUCAAGGUGCAGUUUUAUUUAAGUAAACAUGGGUUACUUUAAUUAUAAAUUAUUAGGAUAAUAAUUUUUAUAAUUAUUUUGAAUAAGGAUUUAGUAGUAAUUUCGAAUAAAUAUUCGUUUUGAAUUUUGUUCUAAUUUAUGUACAUAUCGCCCGUCACUCUCAAUAAUAUGGGAUAAGUCGUAACAAAGUAGUUUUACCGGAAGGUGAAGCUAGAAAGU